AUUGAACGCUGGCGGCAGGCCUAACACAUGCAAGUCGAGCGGAUGAAGGGAGCUUGCUCCUGGAUUCAGCGGCGGACGGGUGAGUAAUGCCUAGGGAUCUGCCUGGUAGUGGGGGAUAACGUCCGGAAACGGGCGCUAAUACCGCAUACGUCCUGAGGGAGAAAGUGGGGGAUCUUCGGACCUCACGCUAUCAGAUGAGCCUAGGUCGGAUUAGCUAGUUGGUGGGGUAAAGGCCUACCAAGGCGACGAUCCGUAGCUGGUCUGAGAGGAUGAUCAGUCACACUGGAACUGAGACACGGUCCAGACUCCUACGGGAGGCAGCAGUGGGGAAUAUUGGACAAUGGGCGAAAGCCUGAUCCAGCCAUGCCGCGUGUGUGAAGAAGGUCUUCGGAUUGUAAAGCACUUUAAGUUGGGAGGAAGGGCAGUAAGUUAAUACCUUGCUGUUUUGACGUUACCAACAGAAUAAGCACCGGCUAACUUCGUG
rnacentral:rRNA from 1 species